rnacentral:rRNA from 1 species
UGGGGAAUCUUGCACAAUGGAGGAAACUCUGAUGCAGCGACGCCGCGUGAGCGAUGAAGCCCUUCGGGGUGUAAAGCUCUUUCGACGGGAACGAUAAUGACGGUACCCGAAGAAGAAGCUGCGGCUAACUACGUGCCAGCAGCCGCGGUAAUACGUAGGCAGCAAGCGUUGUUCGGAAUUACUGGGCGUAAAGAGUGUGUAGGCGGUGUUCUAAGUUUGUCGUGAAAUCUCCCGGCUUAACUGGGAGGGUGCGGCGAAAACUGGAAUGCUAGAGGAUGGGAGAGGUAAGCGGAAUUCCUGGUGUAGCGGUGAAAUGCGUAGAUAUCAGGAGGAACACCUGUGGUGUAGACAGCUUACUGGACCAUUUCUGACGCUGAGACACGAAAGCGUGGGUAGCAAACAGGAUUAGAUACCCUGGUAGUCCACGCCCUAAACGAUGCAUACUUGGUGUGAGCGAUUCAUUUCGUUCGUGCCGGAGCUAACGCGUUAAGUAUGCCGCCUGGGGAGUACGGUCGCAAGGCUGA